rnacentral:rRNA from 1 species
GACGAACGCUGGCGGCGUGCUUAACACAUGCAAGUCGAACGGAAAGGGGCAGCUUGCUUGGGGUUCCCGAGUGGCGAACGGGUGAGUAACACGGGAGUAUCCUGCCCUUGGCUUUAGGAUAACUGCAGGAGACUGCGACUACUGCCUGAGACGAGCGCGUGCUACAGGGGGGGGGUCGGAAAGCUUGGGCGGUGGGGGCUGGACGUGCGGCUUAUCAGCUUGUGGGGUGGGUAGUGGCUUACCAGGUCUUUGGUGGGUAGCCGGCCUGAGAGGGUGACCGGCGACAUGGGGACUGAGAUAGGCAGCAGAGUCGUACGGGAGGCAGGGGUGGGAAAUAUUGCACAAUGGGCGGAAGCCUGAUGCAGCAGCGCUGCGUGCGGGAUGCCGGCCUUCGGGGUGUAAACGGCUGUCGGCUGAGACGAAGCGUGAGUGACGGUAAUGGGUAAAGAAGCACCGGCUAACUACGUG